rnacentral:misc_RNA from 1 species
GAUACAGUUAAGUGUUUUUGUGUUAUUUUUUGGAAUCUAUUGCAAAUCAGUUUUUCAAGUUCUCUUCACAACAUGUAUUAGGUGAAGAAUUUUACUUCAAAGCUUAAGUUUCUUAUUGGUUUUUUGGGUGGAGUAUAGGCCUGUGGAACCACGGAGCAAAAAGUUUAGUGGUUGUGCAUAUGUUAGCCAAUAACUGGAUUUUAUGAACUUUUUUUGAGGGAGAUCCCUAGGAUUGCUAAAGAAUCAUUGUGCCACAAUUUAGUCCCUUAUAUGAAGU